rnacentral:rRNA from 1 species
AAUAUUGGUCAAUGGGCGCAAGCCUGAACCAGCCAUGCCGCGUGCAGGAAGACGGUCCUAUGGAUUGUAAACUGCUUUUAUUUGGGAAUAAACUCUGGUACGUGUACCAGCCUGAAGGCACCAAAUGAAUAAGCACCGGCUAACUCCGUGCCAGCAGCCGCGGUAAUACGGAGGGUGCAAGCGUUAUCCGGAAUCAUUGGGUUUAAAGGGUCCGUAGGCGGAUUUAUAAGUCAGUGGUGAAAGCCUGAUGCUUAACAUCAGAACUGCCAUUGAUACUAUAAGUCUUGAAUUCGAUCGAAGUGGGCGGAAUAUGACAUGUAGCGGUGAAAUGCUUAGAUAUGUCAUGGAACACCGAUAGCGAAGGCAGCUCACUAGGUCUGGAUUGACGCUCAGGGACGAAAGCGUGGGGAGCAAAC